UACCAGCACCCCGAGUGGUCGGGACGUUUAUUGGGCCUAAAGCAUCCGUAGCCGGUUCUACAAGUCUUCCGUUAAAUCCAACUGCUUGACAGGUGGGCUGCGGAAGAUACUAUAGAGCUAGGAGGCGGGAGAGGCAAGCGGUACUCGAUGGGUAGGGGUAAAAUCCGUUGAUCCAUUGAAGACCACCAGUGGCGAAGGCGGCUUGCCAGAAUGCGCUCGACGGUGAGGGAUGAAAGCUGGGGGAGCAAACCGG
rnacentral:rRNA from 1 species